CCCUGCUAACAACCCCGCAAGAUGCCACACUGAUAGUAUCGAGGGCUGACUUAGAGUCAGGAUCUGUCAAGAGGAGAAGCCCUUCCGUGCCCGGUGGCAGGGAACAGAGAAGACAACAAUCUGCCUGACCCAGCGAUGUUAGAAGCCCCUUGUUCCUGAACUUAUUUAAUUAUCAAGGAAAAGCGCCUUUGUUCAAAUGAAGCCAUGGAGUUUCUUGGCAAGAAGCGCACCUUAGAGAAUUUCCAUCUUCUUUCAGCUCUCCUUAACUCAGAAAAGGAAGAAUCCCAGGAUUGAGGACUUUGCUGUUCAGAGAAGAUCCUCUCUGAUUGCUGUUCAAUUAAAUAUUUUUCGCCAG